GGCUGCUGCGAGGCUCAGCAUUCUCACGGCUCUGCUUAAGAGGACAGGGAGGGGGGCUUCGCUAGGCCUUGGUGAGUCCUUCAGAAAUAACAGUAAUAAACAACCAGCUCCAACAACAGCGACUGUGUAUUGAGCACUUACUGCCUGCCAGAUCCUGUGCUAAGUCAAGACUGGCCUAACGGAACCUUCCAGAGCGCAGGCGAGGCUGGCACUGUUACUAACCCAUCUCACAGGUGAGCAAGAGGAUCCAGUGGUGAAGGCGGCUGCCCCAGGCUACACAGCUGGAAGCUGAGGCCAAACUCUGGAACCCACUGUACCUGCUCAUUCCAGAAUCCAGGCUUCUCAACUGACGCCAAAGAACACCCGCUGUUAGGUGAUGAGGACACUGAGAGCUGACAUGUGACCCAGGACUCAGAGCCAGGCUCAGGAAGUGAGCUGGGAAAUGCCAGCAGAGGUCCAAGAAGAAACAUGCUGCCCUCCCACUGUGGGGCUGCUUCUGCCCUCAGUGGCCAGGGACUCUGGCCAUUCCCAACCCCAGGGGUACACAGCAGCAGAAACUGGCAUGGGAAUAGGGAGAGGGGACCAUCUCCUCCAAUGCCCUCAUUUUAUACCAGGGGAAAUGGGUAUCGAAGAGAGGAAGAGACGUCUCAGUCCUCCACGUGGGCUUCUCCUAUGCACUCCCACCUCCUACUCCUCUUUAAAAGGGAUAUUUUAGAAGUUA